UGCGGUUUUUGGGUAAUCGCGGUCUGACAUGAUCAGGCUGAGGAAAGUCCAUGCUCGCACAGGCUGUGAUGCCUGUAGUGUUCGUGCUUAGCGAAACAAUAAGCUAAGGUGCUCUAUUAGAGUAACGGCAGGAAAACAAGCUAAGGUUUUUAACUAUGCUUAAGUAUCCUUGAAAGUGCCACAGUGACGAAGCGGAUAGGGAAACUUAUUCGGUGGAACGCGGUAAACCCCUCGAGCGAGCAACCCAAACAAUGGUAGGGGCGCUUUUUGUUGGGAAUUAAGAACGAGACAAAAAGGCAGGUUAACUGCAGAUAGAUGGUUACCACAUUGCUUUUUCUCCCUGGAAAAGUAGUGUACAGAACAUGGCUUACAGAAAACCGCAAUAU
rnacentral:RNase_P_RNA from 7 species